GGUUUUGUGCCGGAGUGGUUAACGGGGCAGACUUGAAAUCUGCUGGGCUUUGCCCGCACAGGUUUGAUCCCUGUCAAAACCG
rnacentral:tRNA from 1 species